rnacentral:rRNA from 1 species
AGGACGAACGCUGGCGGCGUGCUUAAUACAUGCAAGUCGAGCGGUCAAACUCAGCAAUGAGUUUGGUAGCGGCGGACGGGUGAGUAACGCGUGGGCAAUCUGCCCUCUAGCCCGGGACAACAGUUCGAAAGGACUGCUAAAACCGGAUAUGCUCACACCCUGACAUCGGGGAGUGAGAAAAGGAUACACUAGAGGAUGAGCCCGCGUCCCAUUAGCUAGUUGGUGAGGUAACGGCCCACCAAGGCGACGAUGGGUAGCCGACCUGAGAGGGUGAACGGCCACACUGGGACUGAGACACUGGCCAGACUCCUACGGGAGGCUGCAGUCGAGGAUCUUCGGCAAUGGGCGCAAGCCUGACCGAGCGACGCCGCGUGCGCGAUGAAGGCCUUCGGGUUGUAAAGCGCUGUCGAGGGGGAGGAAGCCGCAAGGUUGACCUAUCCCUGGAGGAAGGACGGGCUAAGUUCGUGCCAGCAGCCGCGGUAAGACGAACCGUCCUAACGUUGUUCGGAAUCACUGGGCUUAAAGGGCGCGUAGGCGGGCUCUCAAGUCCGGGGUGAAAUCUUUCGGCUCAACCGGAAAAUAGCCUUGGAUACUGGGAGUCUCGAGGGAGGUAGGGGCGGGUGGAACUUCCGGUGGAGCGGUGAAAUGCGUUGAUAUCGGAAGGAACGCCGGUGGCGAAAGCGACCCGCUGGACCUCUUCUGACGCUGAGGCGCGAAAGCCAGGGGAGCAAACGGGAUUAGAUACCCCGGUAGUCCUGGCCCUAAACGAUGGGUACUAGAUAGCGGACUAGACAUGGGUUCGCUGUCGAAGCAAAAGUGCUAAGUACCCCGCCUGGGGAGUAUGGUCGCAAGGCUGAA